rnacentral:sRNA from 1 species
CUAACCCAGCAGCAGCAGCGGCUGCUGCUUUUGCUACUGCUGCUAUUGCUGCUGCUGCUUUUGCUGCUGCUGCUAUUGCUGCUACUGGGUUAG